rnacentral:rRNA from 1 species
GACGAACGCUGGCGGCGUGCUUAACACAUGCAAGUCGAACGAUGAAGCUAGAGCUUGCUCUGGUGAAUUAGUGGCGAACGGGUGAGUAACACGUGAGUAACCUGCCCCGAACUCUGGGAUAACUGCUGGAAACGGCAGCUAAUACUGGAUACGACCUACGAAGGCAUCUUCUGUAGGUGGAAAGAAUUUCGGUUCGGGAUGGACUCGCGGCCUAUCAGCUUGUUGGUGAGGUAAUGGCUCACCAAGGCGACGACGGGUAGCCGGCCUGAGAGGGUGACCGGCCACACUGGGCAUGAGACACGGCCCAGACUCCUACGGGAGGCAGCAGUGGGGAAUAUUGCACAAUGGGCGCAAGCCUGAUGCAGCAACGCCGCGUGAGGGAUGACGGCCUUCGGGUUGUAAACCUCUUUUAGUAGGGAAGAAGCGAAAGUGACGGUACCUGCAGAAAAAGCACCGGCUAACUACGUGCCAGCAGCCGCAGUAA